rnacentral:rRNA from 1 species
AAGGGCACCACAAGAACGCGUGGAGCAUGUGGCUUAAUUUGACUCAACGCGGGAAAUCUUACCGGGUCCGGACACACUGAGGAUUGACAGGCAAUAUUAUAAAAGUAAGUCUGUGUCAUUCGUGACAUACGAUUUUUUUUAUAUGUUAAAUAUGCUAGUCCUUUCAUGAUUAUGUGAUAGGUGAUGCAUGGCCGUUCUUAGUUCGUGGAGUGAUCUGUCUGCUUAAUUGCGUUUCACUAUUGGGCUUAUAUAAUUACGUAUGCUGUUAACGCUUUGACCCCUUUCUACGGAUUGCGCGUGUCUUUGUCCGUUCGACACAUACAAUUAAGCCCUGAAAGCAACGAACGUGACCGCAACCUCUUGUUGCUCUCCAUUUUGAUUUAUACCAGAAUCAUCGCGUAUUAAUUUCUUAAUUUGAAAAUUUCACUCUCGAGUGUUUUUUUUUUAUGACUGUAUUUUUUUGCGUUAAGAGAGCUUUCUAAACUAGAGGGACCGCUGUUACUUUCUUAAACCAGAGGAAGGUUGCGGCAAUAACAGGUCUGUGAUGCCCUUAGAUGUUCCGGGCUGCACACGUGCUACAAUGAUUAUUGCAGUGAGCAUCUCAUUUUUUACACAUCGCAUGCGCGAGUCCAUUUAUUCUUUCACUUCGGUGGUUGCUUUAAAUGUGCACCUCUGCGCGCGAUAAAGCCUACUUCGAGAGCAAGUGGGUAAUCAAUUAGAAGUAAUGAUUUCCUUUUUUUUCUGCACACAGAUAUAUGGCACUUAUACCCUGGGUAGCCUUGUUGUUACUUCUGUGCGUAUCAGUGAUACUUUUGUGUUUACUCACAAUUGUAUAUUACCAUAUGUGCAAUUGUCAAUUCAUGGUGGGGACAGACCAUUGUUAAUUGUUGGUCUCGGUCUGCCCUUUGUACACACCGCCCGUCGCUCUUACCGAUGGACUUCUCUGUGAGUUUGAGGGACUGGUAUAUGAUGCCACAGUUUUUUUUUAUUCGUAAAGAAAAAUUGUCAUCCCACUAUAGAAACUUAAACGAACAGUGGGGUCUAAAGGAAAGAGAAGUCGUAACAAGGCAUCAGUAGGUGAACCUGCAGAAGGAUCA